AUUGAACGCUGGCGGCAUGCCUUACACAUGCAAGUCGAACGGUAACAGGUCUUCGGAUGCUGACGAGUGGCGAACGGGUGAGUAAUACAUCGGAACGUGCCCGAGAGUGGGGGAUAACGAAGCGAAAGCUUUGCUAAUACCGCAUACGAUCUCAGGAUGAAAGCAGGGGACCGCAAGGCCUUGCGCUCACGGAGCGGCCGAUGGCAGAUUAGGUAGUUGGUGGGAUAAAAGCUUACCAAGCCGACGAUCUGUAGCUGGUCUGAGAGGACGACCAGCCACACUGGGACUGAGACACGGCCCAGACUCCUACGGGAGGCAGCAGUGGGGAAUUUUGGACAAUGGGCGCAAGCCUGAUCCAGCCAUGCCGCGUGCAGGAUGAAGGCCUUCGGGUUGUAAACUGCUUUUGUACGGAACGAAAAGACUCUGGUUAAUACCUGGGGUCCAUGACGGUACCGUAAGAAUAAGCACCGGCUAACUACGUGCCAGCAGCCGCCGUAA
rnacentral:rRNA from 1 species